GAGUUGGAUGGAGAGUUUCACCAAGCCACAAAUUUUUGAGCUGAGUAUUGAGCUGGAUCUCAAGAUGAGUAGGAAUUUACCAAGGGAGAAAAAAAAAAAAAAGGAGAGAGAAGAGAGUGCUUCACCAGCAGAGAAAGCAAGCAGCAUGGACCACAGGGUCAUCAAGUGAACACUGAUGAGGCCACAACCGCACUACUGGUCCAAUGCACUGAGACGGCCAUUAGCCCAUCUGGUGAAACUGAAUGUAAGACCAGAAAGGAAUCUCGGAGGUGACAAUCUGAUUGGAAGGAGAAUUACCCACAUUAUUUUCACUUGUCGAAGGAAGAGGAAGUCUAGUAAAGAAACAGAACUGAAAGAGAGACCAAAUGGCCCUUCAUCUUCUGAGUCAUUUCUAUCAUGUUUAUUUCUCCAUUUGCUCAAUUUCUUUGAGUACACAUGAGGCUGAACUCGCAUGUCAUCAGGUAAGCAGUCACCAAAAAAUAGAUGGCAUUUUCAUUUUGGGUCAGCAGAAGUACAUAUUCUAGAUCAGCCAUCAAUCUGGAGUCAAAUAGUAUGGUGUUUUGUUAGGGUUGAUUUAGUGGUAUUCAAAUCAAAAUAACCUUUUGCAUACUGAAAGUACAUUAUUGCAUAAUUCAUUUUAUGCAGUAUCUCAUUAAGUUUUUUUUUUUUUUUUUUUUUUUUUUUUUUUUUUUUACAUUCUUACCAAUUGACCUUAUUUGUCCAGGACUUAAUUUUCUGUGUCCCGCAAGCCCCUCAGUGUAUCCAGUGGUAACUGCCACUUUUAAUUUACCUGAGACUUAGCUACUUUGAUUUUAGUCUUGGACAAGUUCUGUGAAAAUGUCUUAUCUGUAAUCCAUUUCCUUAAUGUAUAUCAGGUAGUAAUAGAGAAAAAGAGUUAGAGUUAUAGAAGCACAAGGCUGAAUUAUCCAUUAGUUUGGGAAUUCAAAUUCUCUAUUUUUUUUGUUGUUGCUGUUGUUGUAUAUUAGAUUGUAGGAGGCAAAAUAGAUGGACAAUAAAAUCUUUGUUUUUGUGGUUCUGAAAAAAUAA
rnacentral:lncRNA from 1 species